GUAUAGGUUGAGCAGUUCUGGAGAGGGGACUUUUAGGAACUGAGAAGGCUUAUGGAACUGACAUAUAUGGCCAUCCAGUUUUUCUGCUUGUCUCAUCAGAAGGCUUCUUCCCUGUCUGGAAGACAUUGCUCAAGUGCAUCUUGGCUUCAUGUCUAAGCAAAACAAAGAGUAAAACGUCCAGAAAUUAUCAUUUUGGAACAACAAAUAAACCUGGAAUCCAGAUCACACUUCACUGGAUGAAUGAAGAUGACAAGCCCCGCUGCUCCAAACAGCAAGAUGAAGGAGAACAUACACGUCAGCCUCAUAAUUAUUGUUCUCAAACCAAUCCACUUUUGACCCAGG